rnacentral:rRNA from 1 species
AACGAACGCUGGCGGCGUGGAUAAGACAUGCAAGUCGAACGGGACAGGUGGCAAUAUCUGUCUAGUGGCGAACGGGUGCGUAACACGUGGGCAACAUGCCUGGAAGAGCGGGAUAGCCCGGGGAAACUCGGAUUAAUACCGCAUGAGACAACGGGGCGGCUGCGCCCUGUUUUCAAAGGUGGGGACCGCAAGGCCUGCCGCUUCCAGCUUGGCCCGCGUCCUAUCAGCUAGUUGGCGGGGUAAAAGCCCACCACGGCGACGACGGGUAGCUGGUCUGAGAGGACGACCAGACACACUGUAACUGAGACACGGUCCAGACACCUACGGGUGGCAGCAGUCGAGAAUCUUUCACAAUGGGGGAAGCCCUGAUGGAGCGACGCCGCGUGGAGGAUGACGGUCUUCGGAUUGUAAACUCCUGUCAUGAAAGAACAAGCGGAGCGGGUGAACAGCCCGCCGUGUUGAUAGUAUUUCAGGAGGAAGGGACGGCUAACUUCGUGCCAGCCGCCCUGUAAAAC